rnacentral:rRNA from 1 species
UCCUACGGGAGGCAGCAGUGAGGAAUUUUGCGCAAUGGGCGAAAGCCUGACGCAGCGACGCCGCGUGGAGGACGAAGGUCUUCGGAUCGUAAACUCCUGUCGAGCGGGACGAAUCCCGGGGGGAUGAAUAAGCCUUCCGGUUGACGGUACCGCUGGAGGAAGCCCCGGCUAACUCCGUGCCAGCAGCCGCGGUAAUACGGAGGGGGCCAGCGUUGUUCGGAAUUAUUGGGCGUAAAGGGCGCGUAGGCGGCCGGGCAAGUCAGAGGUGAAAUCCCUCGGCUCAACUGAGGAACUGCCUCUGAAACUGCCUGGCUUGAGUCCCGGAGAGGGUAGCGGAAUUCCCAGUGUAGCGGUGAAAUGCGUAGAUACUGGGAGGAACACCAGUGGCGAAGGCGGCUACCUGGACGGGUACUGACGCUGAGGCGCGUAAGCGUGGGGAGCAAACAGGAUUAAAUACCCUGGUAGUCCACGCUGUAAACGAUGGGCACUUGGUGUUGCGGGUAUCGACCCCUGCAGUGCCGAAGCUAACGCAUUAAGUGCCCCGCCUGGGGAGUACGGUCGCAAGGCUGAAACUCAAAUGAAUUGACGG